GCGGGGCAGUGGUCACGGAGUGUACUCGUGACACUAGGCGUCUGACUGCGGAUCAGAAGGUUAGGGGUUCGAGUCCCUUCGGGCGCA
rnacentral:tRNA from 1 species